AACGAACGCUGGCGGCAUGCCUAACACAUGCAAGUCGAACGAGACCUUCGGGUCUAGUGGCGCACGGGUGCGUAACGCGUGGGAACCUGUCCUUAGGUUCGGAAUAACUCCCCGAAAGGGGUGCUAAUACCGGAUAAUGUCUUCGGACCAAAGAUUUAUCGCCUUUGGAUGGGCCCGCGUUGGAUUAGCUAGUUGGUAGGGUAAAAGCCUACCAAGGCGACGAUCCAUAGCUGGUCUGAGAGGAUGAUCAGCCACACUGGGACUGAGACACGGCCCAGACUCCUACGGGAGGCAGCAGUGGGGAAUAUUGGACGAUGGGCGAAAGCCUGAUCCAGCAAUGCCGCGUGAGUGAUGAAGGCCUUAGGGUUGUAAAGCUCUUUUACCCGGGAUGAUAAUGACAGUACCGGGAGAAUAAGCUCCGGCUAACUCCGUG
rnacentral:rRNA from 1 species